UAUAUUUUGUUUAAGUGCCACUGUUGUAGCUGUAUAUGCCAGGUUCUUGUACGAAAAUUUGAUCAAGCCUCGUGGGUUGGAAAAUAAGUUCUCAUUUUUAUCCCCACAUAUAUCUCAAGAGGAUAAACAAGGGCAACAAAUAGCAGACAUCCUAUUGACACACAAGUUUAAGAAUAAGCUGAUUUUUGCACCGGUCAAUUUAGGGCUAAAUCAUUGGGUGUUGCUUGUCAUCAAUCCCGGAGCUGAGAUGAUAUAUUAUAUGGAUUCAUUGCCGGGGGGACAUCCUAACAUUGACGUUGUAAGAAAAAAGUUCAUGAAUGCCAUGUGUAUUUGCCGUUCCCUUAAUCCCAAGUUAAAAUCAAAGUCAAGUAUAAUCCCAUGGAAAAAAAUAAAGGU